CCUACGGGGGGCUGCAGUGAGGAAUAUUGGUCAAUGGACGAGAGUCUGAACCAGCCAAGUAGCGUGAAGGAUGACUGCCCUAUGGGUUGUAAACUUCUUUUAUAUGGGAAUAAAACGUUCCACGUGUGGGAUUUAGUAUGUACACUAUGAAAAAGCAUCGGCUAACACCGUGCCCGCCGCGGCGGUAAAACGGAGGAUGCGAGCGUUAUCUGGAUUUAUUGGGUUUAAAGGGUGCGCGGGCGGAAGAUCAAGUCAGCGGUAAAAUUGAGAGGCUCAACCUCUUCGAGCCGUUGAAACUGGUUGUCGUGAGUGAGCGCGAAGUAUGCGGAAUGCGUGGUGUAGCGGUGAAAUGCAUAGAUAUCACGCAGAACUCCGAUUGCGAAGGCAGCAUACCGGCGCUCAACUGACGCUCAUGCACGAAAGUGUGGGUAUCGAACAGGAUUAGAUACCCUAGUAGUC
rnacentral:rRNA from 1 species